CCCUUAGAUGUUCUGGGCCGCACGCGCGCUACACUGAUGAAUGCAACGAGCUCUACCCUUGACCGAAAGGCCCGGGUAAACUUGUGAAACUUCAUCGUGAUGGGGAUAGAUUAUUGCAAUUAUUAAUCUUCAACGAGGAAUUCCUAGUAAGCGCGGGUCAUCAGCUCGCGUUGAUUACGUCCCUGCCCUUUGUACACACCGCCCGUCGCUCCUACCGAUUGAAUGGUCCGGUGAAAUCUUCGGAUUGCUGACCAAGAUCCAGCAAUGGAGCUUGGUUGCGAGAAGUUGAUUAAACCUUAUUAUUUAGAGGAAGGAGAAGUCGUAACA
rnacentral:rRNA from 1 species